rnacentral:rRNA from 1 species
AUUGAACGCUGGCGGCAGGCCUAACACAUGCAAGUCGAGCGAGCGGCGGACGGGUGAGUAAUGUAUGGGGAUCUGCCCGAUAGAGAGGGAUAACUACUGGAAACGGUGGCUAAUACCGCAUACUUUCGGAUGACCCCAUAGUGGAUGAGCGAGUAGGUGGGGUAAAGGCUCACAUAGGCGACGAUCUCUAGCUGGUCUGAGAGGAUGAUCAGCCACAUUGGGACGUAGACACGGCCCAGACGCCUACGGGAUGCAGCAGUGGGGAAUAUUGGACAAUGGGCGUAAGCCUGAUGCAGCCAUGCCGCGUGUAUGAAGAAGGCCUUAGGGUUGUAAAGUACUUUCAGCGGGGAGGCGUUACCCGCAGAAGAAGCACCGGCGAACUCCGGGCCAGCAGCCGCGGUAAUAC